AGACUCUCAAAGUGGCUGUGAAAUGGUUUUAUUUUGCUCAUAUCACAGCCAGCUUUGAUGAGCUGGA
rnacentral:pre_miRNA from 11 species